rnacentral:rRNA from 1 species
GAGUUUGAUUCUGGCUCAGGACGAACGCGGCGGCGUGCCUAAUACAUGCAAGUCGAACGAACGGAGAAAGAAGCUUGCUUUUUUCAAAGUUAGUGGCGAACGGGUGAGUAACACGUGGGUAACCUGCCCAUCAGAGGGGGAUAACAUUCGGAAACGGAUGCUAAAACCGCAUAGGUUCCUUAGUUGCAUGACUGAGGAAGGAAAAGAGGCGUAAGCUUCUGCUGGUGGAUGGACCCGCGGUGCAUUAGCUAGUUGGUGAGGUAACGGCUCACCAAGGCGAUGAUGCAUAGCCGACCUGAGAGGGUGAUCGGCCACAUUGGGACUGAGACACGGCCCAAACUCCUACGGGAGGCAGCAGUAGGGAAUCUUCCGCAAUGGACGCAAGUCUGACGGAGCAACGCCGCGUGAGUGAAGAAGGUUUUCGGAUCGUAAAACUCUGUUGUUAGAGAAGAAUAAGCAUAAUAGUAACUGAUUAUGCCGUGACG